CCUACGGGGGGCAGCAGUGAGGAAUAUUGGUCAAUGGGCGGAAGCCUGAACCAGCCAAGUCGCGUGAGGGAUUAAGGCCCUAUGGGUCGUAAACCUCUUUUGUCAGGGAGCAAGGUCGUCCACGUGUGGGCGUAUGGAGAGUACCUGAAGAAAAAGCAUCGGAUAAAUCCGUGCCAGCAGCAGCGGUAAUACGGAGGAUGCGAUCGUUAUCCGGAUUUAUUGGGUUUAAAGGGUGCGUAGGCGGUACCUUAAGUCAGCGGUAAAAUUGCGGUGCUCAACGCCGUGGAGCCGUUGAAAAUGGGGCUCUUGAGUGAUCGAGAAGUAUGCGGAAGGCGGGGUGUAUCAGUGAAAUGCAUAGAUAUCACGCAGAACCCCGAUUGCGAAGGCAGCAUACCGGCGCUCAACUGACGCUGAGGCACGAAAGUGCGGGUAUCGAACAGGAUUAGACACCCUAGUAGUC
rnacentral:rRNA from 1 species